GCAGGGGACCACAAGACCUUGCGCUGAUUGAGCGGCCGAUAUCAGAUUAGCUAGUUGGUGAGGUAAAGGCUCACCAAGGCGACGAUCUGUAGCGGGUCUGAGAGGAUGAUCCGCCACACUGGAACUGAGACACGGUCCAGACUCCUACGGGAGGCAGCAGUGGGGAAUUUUGGACAAUGGGGGCAACCCUGAUCCAGCCAUGCCGCGUGAGUGAAGAAGGCCUUCGGGUUGUAAAGCUCUUUCGGCCGGGAAGAAGUCGUAUGGGUUAAUACCCUGUGCGGAUGACGGUACCGGCAUAAGAAGCACCGGCUAACUACGUGCCAGCAGCCGCGGUAAUACGUAGGGUGCGAGCGUUAAUCGGAAUUACUGGGCGUAAAGCGUGCGCAGGCGGUUUUGUAAGACAGGCGUGAAAUCCCCGGGCUCAACCUGGGAACUGCGCUUGUGACUGCAAGGCUAGAGUAUGGCAGAGGGGGGUGGAAUUCCACGUGUAGCAGUGAAAUGCGUAGAGAUGUGGAGGAACACCAAUGGCGAAGGCAGCCCCCUGGGCCAAUACUGACGCUCAUGCACGAAAGCGUGGGUAGCAAACAGGAUUAGAUACCCUGGUAGUCCACGCCCUAAACGAUGUCAACUAGGUGUUGGGUGGGUAAAACCAUUUAGUACCGGAGCUAACGCGUGAAGUUGACCGCCUGGGGAGUACGGCCGCAAGGUUAAAACUCAAAGGAAUUGACGGGGACCCGCACAAGCGGUGGAUGAUGUGGAUUAAUUCGAUGCAACGCGAAAAACCUUACCUACCCUUGACAUGUCCAGGAGCCUGAAGAGAUUUGGGUGUGCCCGAAAGGGAACUAGAACACAGGUGCUGCAUGGCUGUCGUCAGCUCGUGUCGUGAGAUGUUGGGUUAAGUCCCGCAACGAGCGCAACCCUUGUCGUUAAUUGCCAUCAUUUAGUUGGGCACUUUAACGAGACUGCCGGUGACAAACCGGAGGAAGGUGGGGAUGACGUCAAGUCCUCAUGGCCCUUAUGGGUAGGGCUUCACACGUCAUACAAUGGUUGGUACAAAGGGUUGCCAACCCGCGAGGGGGAGCCAAUCCCAGAAAGCCGAUCGUAGUCCGGAUUGCAGGCUGCGACUCGCCUGCAUGAAGUCGGAAUCGCUAGUAAUCGUGGAUCAGCAUGUCACGGUGAAUACGUUCCCGGGUCUUGUACACACCGCCCGUCACACCAUGGGAGCGGGUUCCGCCAGAAGUAGGUAGCCUAACCGCAAGGGGGGCGCUUACCACGGCGGGGUUCGUGACUGGGGUGAAGUCGUAACAAGGUA
rnacentral:rRNA from 1 species